UGGCAGGCUAAGCCAAGCGGUUACUUCGUUAGUGAUCUAUUCGGUAAUGAUGUUCUGCUUUUAACGGAAACAAGUUGGUUCGAUCCCAACCUAACGCCCAAAUCAACUGCUAGCGCAAUCCUGCUUUUUU
rnacentral:vault_RNA from 1 species